GACGAACGCUGGCGGCGUGCUUAACACAUGCAAGUCGAACGGAAAGGCCCUGCUUUUGUGGGGUGCUCGAGUGGCGAACGGGUGAGGAACACGUGAGUAACCUGCCCUUGACUUUGGGAUAACUUCAGGAAACUGGGGCUAAUACCGGAUAGGAGCUCCUGCUGCAUGGUGGGGGUUGGAAAGUUUCGGCGGGUGGGGAUGGACUCGCGGCUUAUCAGCUUGUUGGUGGGGUAGUGGCUUACCAAGGCUGUGACGGGUAGCCGGCCUGAGAGGGUGACCGGCCACAAUGGGACUGAGAUACGGCCCAGACUCGUACGGGAGGCAGCAGUGGGGAAUAUUGCACAAUGGGCGGACGCGUGAUGCAGAAACGCCGCGUGCGGGAUGACGGCCUUCGGGUUGUAAAACGCUUUCGCCUGUGACGAAGCGUGAGUGACGGUAACGGGUAAAGAAGCACCGGCUAACUACGUG
rnacentral:rRNA from 1 species